rnacentral:rRNA from 1 species
UGUGCCCUACGGGGCGCAGCAGUAGGGAAUCUUCCACAAUGGACGAAAGUCUGAUGGAGCAACGCCGCGUGAGUGAAGAAGGGUUUCGGCUCGUAAAGCUCUGUUGGUAGUGAAGAAAGAUAGAGGUAGUAACUGGCCUUUAUUUGACGGUAAUUACUUAGAAAGUCACGGCUAACUACGUGCCAGCAGCCGCGGUAAUACGUAGGUGGCAAGCGUUAUCCGGAUUUAUUGGGUUUAAAGGGUGCGCAGGCGGAGGGGCAAG